rnacentral:lncRNA from 1 species
ACCAGGAAUCUAACAUUGUCUCUUGGCUCAGCUGGGUUUUCAUCUCAUCAAGCUCCCCAUUGGGUGGUGGAGAUCCAGGAACUAUAAGAUCCCUUUUUCCUACUCAGUAGUGACUUGGAAAGAAAUAUCCAACCACCCACAAGAUUUCACCAGAAGUCCCAGUACUGAAUUUCAUUGGCUCAACUAGGAGCACAUGUUAUAACCAAGCCAAUCUCCUGGCCUGGGGAGUGGACUGCUGUCAUUGGCCGGGUUGGAGAAUGUGGGAGGAGUCAGCACAAAUUUAUCUAAUCUUAUUCUGGGCCAUUAGGAGUUUCCAAACCUUGGUAGGCUGCAUUUCAGGUGUCUGAGAUGGGGAGGCCAUGGAAAAAGAGAAAGGUCAGAAGUUACAUUUGAGAAGUUCAGUUUAGGGCCAAGUGAAUUUGAGAUGCCUCCCAGGCAUCACGUGGUGCCACUGAGUCAUCAACUGGAUAUGAGACAUGCAUUUACCUGAUGUCUUGGUGGCUCAUUUUUUUAAAUUGAUUUUAUGGAAAUGUAAUUUCAUUUCCUUUUGAAGGGUACAAUUGAGAAGUCUAAUUAUUAUGAGGCAUAAUCUCUCUAUUUGGAGUUAAUUGACUACUUUUUUUUUCCCUUUCAUUGUCUUUCUGAGAAGUUCUGCCAGUUUAUCUCAAUUCAACUUUUCAAAAGAUAAAUUCUGCCAGAUAAUCUAUAGAUAGCAUUCUGUUUUCCUUCUGGGUUCUUUUUCCUAGGAAAUUCCUCCAGCCACCCUCCCAGGAUUUUCUUCCUCUCUCUCCUAUGUUGAGAUCCCUGUUUCCCUCCAUCUCAGGUCUUAUGUUUUCUUUGUUUACCCAUCAAUUUUUGCAGAGCCCAUCCUGCAGUAACUUUCUGAGAACAUAGGAGCAUGAGCAAUAACAUUUUUGAGCCCUUCCAUGCUUUGAAAUGCUUUACUUGCUCCUCACACUUGAUCAAUAUUUUGGCUGGAAAUAGUAGUCUGGAUUGAAAAUCCUUUUCUGUCAGAAUUUUGAUUCCAUAAACCCCUUGUCUCUUUGGGGUUUUUCUUUGUUUGCUUGUUUUUAUUUUUUGUUUCUGUUUUUGCGUGUUUAGGGUUGCACCUUAGGCAUUUGGAUGUUCCCAGGCUAGGGGGGUGGAAUAGGAGCUGCAGCUGCCGGCCUGUGACUACAGCCAUAGUGACACAGGAUCCAAGUCCCAUAUGCAACCUACACAAGAAGCUUGUGACAAUACUGAAUCCAUAACCCACUGAGAGAGGCCAGGGAUUGAACCUGCAUCCUCAUGGACACCACUCAGGUUUGUAACCCACUGAGCCACAACAGGAACUCCCUAAAUCUUUUUUUAAUGAGGAUAUAAGACAGUAACUCCGGAUUUGUUUUUUUAAACUUUACUGGGGUGUCAUUGACAUGCAACACAGUGCACAUCCGCCAGAUGUUCCAGUUCCUCUGCAUCUUCACCAGCACUUGAUAAAGUCAGUCUUUUUCAUUUUGGCUGUUCUGGCUGAUUUGCAGUGGUAUCUGAUUGUUAUGCUAGUUUGCAUUUUCAUGAAGGCUAGUUGUGAGAAUCUUUUCAUGUGCUUGUUUGAAAUUCAUUUGUCUUUUGUGAAGAGACUGUACAAUUUUUUUUUUUUUUUUUUUUUUGGCUAAUGCAUGCAGUGACUUGGUGGAGGAUCACAGUUCGCAGAUCAGGGAUAGAGCCCAGGCCUCAGUGAUGAAACUCCCAAACUAGACUACUAGGAAACUCGUGAGAUCAUACAAAUCUUUUGCUUGUAUAUUUUUCUUUUCUUUUUAAGAAUGCACCUCUGGCAUAUGGAAGUUCCCAGGCUAGGGGUAGAAUUGGAGCUGCAGCUGAGGCCUUGCCACAGCCUCGGCAACACCAGAACCUUAACUUCACCACUGGGUAAGGCCAGGGAUCUAAACUGCAUCUUCUCUGACAUCAUGUCGGGUUCUUAACCUGUUGAGCCACAACAGGAACACAGUGCCUGUGUUUUUACUAUGUUGCUUUCUAUGCUUUAUUUUUAUUUUUCAAUUUUUUUUUGGUCUUUUCUAGGGUCACACCUGCAGCAUAAGUAGGUUCCCAGGCUAGGGGUCUAAUCGGAGCUGUAGCUGCCGGCCUACGCCAGAGCCACAGCAACGCAGGAUCCAAGCCUCAUUUGCGACCUAUACCUCAGCUCACAGCAACACUGGAUCCUUAACCUGCUAAGCGAGGCCAGGGAUCAAACCUGAAACCUCAUGGUACCUAGUCAGAUUCGUUAACCACUGAGCCAGACAGGAACUCCUCUAUGCUUUAUUAUUAUUAUUAUUUAUUUUUUUUUGUGUGUGUGUGCCCACUGCAGAAGUUCCCAGACUAGGGAUCAAACCUUCACUACAGCAGUGACAACACUAGGUCAUUUGACUGCUAGGCAACCAGGGAACUCUUCUGAAUUUUAAAUGUAUGAUGACUUUGAAAAUUACCACUGGGAAUAACAAUAGCUCCCUUGUUGUAUGACCUCUAUUUCUUAUUUUUUAGAUCCCUGUAUGUAAGAUGGGUGUAAUGAUUGUAUCUAAUUUAUAGGGUUUUGCUGAGGGUUAAAUGAUUUAGACAGAUAAAGUCAGAAGGGCAAAGCUUGAGGAAUUGAUCUAGCACCUUGGAGAGCCAGCUGUGGAGACUCAGAAAGGGCUGGGAAGGGGAGUCCCUGUCAUGGCCCAGUGGAAAUGAAUCUGACUAGCAUCCAUGAGGACACAGGUUCAAUCCCUGGCCUCACUCAGUGGGUUAAGGAUCCCGUGUUGCUGUGAGUUGUGGUAUAGGUCAAAGAGGCACCUUGGAUCUGGUGUUGCUGUGGCUGUGGUGUAGGCCAGCGGCAAUAGCUCCAGUUCGACCCCUAGCCUGGGAACCUCCAUAUGCUGAGGGUACAGCUCUAAAAAUACAAAAAAAAA